GUUUGUGUAAUGUGAGUGGAGCUGUUGGCCCCAUUCCUCACUCUUCUCUGGUCGUGUUAGACAUCCACACCCCUGCCACGGCCUCACGGUCAGGAGAGAGCUGUUCUUCAGCCCUUGACUUUGGACUUGACCAAUGGGAUGGGAGCUGACGAGACAUGAGUCUUGAAAAGUCCUUGUGUGGUUGGUCUCGUGCUCUCUUCUCCAUGACCCGCCGUGAGAGGAGCGUGCCUUGGUUAACUGCCGCCCCUUCAGCCUUCCCGAAUGAGGGAAGUGGAACAGACUGGACAGGACCUGCAGCUUGUAGCUCGCAGCAGAGCCACCCACUGAGCCCAGUCGAGAUCAGCAGAACCCCACCCAGCUCUCAGAUCCGUGAGCGUGAGAAUGAGUGAUCCCUCUUUUCAGUUUGGGGUGGUUUGUUAGGCAGCGUUCUUGUGGGAAUGGCAUAUCCAUGUUCCUCCGUGCCUUAUCAUUUGCCAAUCUCUCAUGAAGGUCUUUCUAUAUCAGCAAAUAGAGAGAGAUCUCAUUCUUUAAAAAUAUCGAUGUAGAAUGUUUGGAUGUAUCUUCAUUUAUUCAAUAUUUUGCUCUCACAAUUCUGCAGUGAAUAACCUUGCACAUAUAUCAUUUUGCGCAAGUCCAAACAUCUCUGCAGGAUAAACUCCCAGAAGGGGAAUCGCUGUGUCGAGGAUUAUCUGCAUUCGUAAUUUUGAUAGAUGUCAUCAGAUUCCACGCCACAGGAACACCCCCGCCGACAGCGCCCGCGGAUUUCCCCGCAGCCUCACAGACAAAGCGUGUUAUUAACCUGUAGGAUUUUUGCCAACCUGAUGGGGGAAAAUGGUAUUUCGGUGUAGCUUUAAUUUGCAUUUCUCUUUCUUGAGUGAGACUGAGCAUCUUUUCAAAUGCUUAAGAGUCAUUUGUGUUUUCUUUUCUAUGAACUGCCUAUUCAUUACUCUUUAACCAUUUUUCCAUUAGAUUGUCUUUUUCUUAUUGAUUUCCUCAACACAUAUUUGCUGAACAAAUGGCUGAGUGAAAUCAGGUGAAUUUAAACAAGGGGCUCUGAAUACCGUGGUUUAACCUCCCAGAGAGAGCCUGGCGGAAGCCAGGAUAGAUUUGGCACGGCUGUGGCGGUCCACCGCGUUCUUUGAUAGAGAGUCCGGGAUCUCACGUUUCGGUGCCACUCCUGACCGACGCUCCCCAGGAGGCUGAGCUAAUGAGGCCCAGGAUUUCAGCCACCGAUGACCUUCCUCCAGCGCGUCUCAUGUCCUUCUGCUCCACCUCGGCACAGCAGCUCGGCAAGCCCCAGGGUCCAUCCCUCUGGUGACAGAUGUUACUGAGGAUCUGCUGUGGUUCAGGCGAGGCAGCGACUGAGGCCCUGGGGAUGCACGAGCGGCUUGUGGCUUUGAGAAACUCGCCAUCUCAUGGGAGAGGCAUGCAAACGUAUAGUUACAUCACCAUGUGGAAAGUCCUCGGAUGUGUUUCAAGUGGUGUGGGGAUCCACGGUUAGGAGCAGCUAAUUCUGCCUGGGACGUUAGUGAGAGGCUUCUGCAAGGAGAAACAGAUGGCAAAUCCGUGGCAUAUAUGACGUCACCCCCCAUUCUGUGUUCACGGCAGACAUCAGUCAUCAGUCUUGACACUGAGGACAACGUCAUAACCCUCUGCAUCCUUCUCAACACAAUGCUGCAGACAGCCAUGACCAGUCGGUCAACAUCGAUAUGAUAAAUGCCAUCUGCCAUCCAAAGAUAUUUCAAGGCACUAAAAUGUGUCCAGCCAUGGCACACAGAUCAUUGGAGCUCUGGGUCGCCUGGAAGAGAACCAGUCUGGGGAGGCCUCUGAAGAAAACUUGGAAUCUAGUGGUGGCUUUGAGGCUCACGUGCCAUGUAGUCUCUCUGAGCCUGGUUUCCUCUAAGUGACUCUGAUUCUCAGAGUUCUGAGACAAGAGAGGGGCUUCCAGUCUGAGUGUUCAAAGAAGGCUGACAAGAGGUGGGAUUUCAGGGGGCUUUGAAGGAUGGGCAUAAUUU
rnacentral:lncRNA from 1 species